rnacentral:lncRNA from 1 species
ACGAGCCGGACUUCCUGGGAACCUGAUGUGGAAGCUCCUGAGGGCCGUGGGGCCGCGUCCACACGGACAGGAGCCCGGCCUCCUCAGGACCCGCUGCGGAGGCUUCUAGAGGACCCGGGGCGGUGUCCACAAGGACAGGAGCCCAGCUUCCUCAGGACCCGCUGUGGAGGAUGUGGGACCACAUCCACGCUGACAGGAUCAUCUCUGGAGGACAUGGGGCCGCGUCCGCACGGACAGGAGCCCGGCCUCCUCAGGCCCCGCCGUGGGAGGAGAAGAGAUUUGGGCAGGAGAAGGGGAGCAGCCCAGCAUCUGUGACCACCUCUGUUACCUGUGUUGACCAUGGAACAGGUAACCUUCCAUAGGCAUCAUUUUUGAUUUCUUGUUACUAUUGUUAAAGGUGCUUUUGUCUCAAUUCCUCCCUUUAGUAGUAAUUCUAAUGAUAAUGGAAAAUAUUUAUCUUUUAUCAUCCAUGCGCCCGGAUCCUGGGCUCCCAGGGAAACUAUCCUUUAACAUUUUAGCAAGCUCAAAAUGACUGGGCAAAACCUCAGAGCAUGGACCCUCUCUCUGCCCCAAGCACAUAUCGUAGAUCUGCUUUGAGAAGAAAAAGAUAACCCAACAAUGCCAUUGCAAACAUAAAGUUAAGAAAAACAAAACAACCUCUCUGGCUCCCAUAAGAUUAAAGUCAUACCGACUUGCACAUACUGAAAACGUAAGAAAAAGUCUGUAACUUUCUGGAAUGUUCUUCCUCAUGAUGAUGUGUAACUCUGUAUGUAAAACAACACAGAACAAAUAUAUAAACCUGCCCCAAAUGUUCCUUUCCUGGAGCACUCCCUUCUUUGUGAAGAUUGUCUCCCAGGCCGCUGUCCUGACUUGGGUUUGAAUAAAACUCUCUUCCUUUCUCUCUAAAAUGUUUAAAAGGGUUUGUUCAUUUAGUGUCGACAAUAACAAUAUGUUUAUUUUUUAUUGUUACGUUAAUCACCAUACAUCAUUAGUUUUUGAUGUAGUGUUCCAUGAUUCAUUGUUUGUGCAUAACACCCAGUGCUCCACGCAGAACGUGCCCUCUUUAAUACCCAUCACCAGGC